rnacentral:rRNA from 14 species
UUUUUCGUGAAGUAUUAAACACAUGUUCAUAUACAUCAAAUUAAUUAAACUACAACAACCAAAAUAAAGCCUAACAUGGACAUUGUGAAAAAGAUAAU